rnacentral:lncRNA from 1 species
GGGACUGCGAACUGUACGGCCAACCGUGCAAUACAAAAGCUUUACAAUAGCAGUACACGAGCUGUACAAUGUGCAAAGUGCACCGCCGUUGCACAUGACCUGCAGGUUCACAGCUGUCAACCACAGCACCCACUGCUUUCUUCAUACAUUUGAACUAUCCCUGAAUGACAGGUACGAAUUCAAGCAAAUCCUAACAUGACCGAUGCGACUCAGCCAGCAACUCUUACCAUGGAAAAGGGUCCAACAGUCUAACGUCAGAAAAAAUGGACACACAAAUGUUAAGCGCAUGUAACUGUACCACUAUUGUCUUCUUAUAAGAGCGCUCAAUCCUCGCCUCCGCUGGUGUCAUCUUCACGAACGACGGCAUAUAUCUGCAUAUGAAAGGAUCACAACAAAAUCAUUGUUUAGGCAGGAACACAUAGUUGUGAGCAUGUUACGUACAAUGACGGCUGUAGGUGUGACACCAGCAUAACGUGCCUCGAAAUAAGGCAAUAAAAAACAUUUAGUUAAUAGCCAUGGUCUUACAACCAGAGGCUUCAUACCUCCGAACGGCCGCUACGUGGCCUGCCACGUCCCGUUUGAGCCCGAAUCUUGUUCAUAUCCUUACCACCAUCCUUGCGCUUGUCCUGUUCCUUGCGAUUCUCCUGCUCGUGUCCUUGGAAUGUAAAAUGGCAAGGCAUAAUGUCAGUGUAUGCACCUGCAUGAUGGCCACUUACUGCCGGUGCCGUCUAGUCCCCCUUUUCCUGCUUUCCCCUGCUUGCCUGCGAAUGAAUGGUGCGCCAUUAUAGAGGAAGAAAGACAGAUUCUUGUUAUGAAGAUGCUAAUUCAUUGGGCUUUACCUUACACUGUCGUCAUUGGAGGAUCAGCGUGAGUAUAAGAAAUGCAUACGCGCUAAACAACAAAUUCAAGAUAAUCUUAUUAGUGCAAUGCGCGCAAUGAAUUACUGCCCUGAGGACACGGGCUGCACUGGGCCUUACGCCCAACUUACUCCCAACUCCCAACAAACCCUCUUAC